GAUGAACGCUAGCUACAGGCUUAACACAUGCAAGUCGAGGGGCAGCAUGGUCUUAGCUUGCUAAGGCCGAUGGCGACCGGCGCACGGGUGAGUAACACGUAUCCAACCUGCCGUCUACUCUUGGACAGCCUUCUGAAAGGAUGAUUAAUACAAGAUGGCAUCAUGAGUCCGCAUGUUCACAUGAUUAAAGGUAUUCCGGUAGACGAUGGGGAUGCGUUCCAUUAGAUAGUAGGCGGGGUAACGGCCCACCUAGUCUUCGAUGGAUAGGGGUUCUGAGAGGAAGGUCCCCCACAUUGGAACUGAGACACGGUCCAAACUCCUACGGGAGGCAGCAGUGAGGAAUAUUGGUCAAUGGGCGAGAGUCUGAACCAGCCAAGUAGCGUGCAGGAUGACGGCCCUAUGGGUUGUAAACUGCUUUAUAAGGGAAUAAAGUGAGUCUCGUGAGACUUUUUGCUAUGUACCUUAUGAAUAAGGACCGGCUAAUUCCG
rnacentral:rRNA from 1 species